rnacentral:tmRNA from 1 species
GGGGCUGUAAGGGUUUUGACGGGAAGCCGUGGUAGCAAGAGUUGCGAGCCGAGGGCGCUAACCUCCCCUCGUAAAACACAUGUUAGCAACGUCAUAAACGCAGACGUAAAAUCGUUAGCGCACAUUGAGUGGUUUGAGGGUCUUGCACCUUCAUUUGCCGCUCCUGUGCCAGUUGCUGCUUAAUAUAUAAGUAGCCCGUCUCCCAAGCUUUGCCGAAGGGUUUGGGGUCAGACGUUAUUUUUUCGGCUGCGUGAUUAGUCUUUUCUGUUUGGCUGAUCACUAAGACUUACAUCAGAUAGCGUGGGAACUGCCUGGCUUCAGGUUAAGUCCCAGGCGAAUUAUAAAAAGAAGCUACGCUCGUAGUAACUUUUGCGCUGCCUUUUCGGACGCGGGUUCGACUCCCGCCAGCUCCACCA